rnacentral:tRNA from 2 species
GGGGACGUAGUCUAGUAUGGUCUAGGAUGGCAGCCUGGGGCGCUGUUGAUCGCGGGUUCAAAUCCCGCCGUCCCCA